rnacentral:rRNA from 1 species
GACGAACGCUGGCGGCGUGCUUAACACAUGCAAGUCGAACGAUGAAGCGGGUGCUUGCACUCGUGGAUUAGUGGCGAACGGGCGAGUAACACGUGAGUAACCUGUCCUUUUCUUUGGGAUAACGGCUGGAAACGGCUGCUAAUACUGGAUAUUCAGGCUGCAUCGCAUGGUGUGGUUUGGAAAGGUUUUUUCUGGGAUUGGGUGGGCUCGCGGCCUAUCAGCUUGUUGGUGGGGUGAUGGCUUACCAAGGCUUUGACGGGUAGCCGGCCUGAGAGGGUGGGCGGUCGCACUGGGACUGAGAUACGGCCCAGACUCCUACGGGAGGCAGCAGUGGGGAAUAUUGCACAAUGGACGAAAGUUUGAUGCAGCGACGCCGCGUGGAGGGUGUAGGCCUUCGGGUUGUGAACUCCUUUGUCUCGCGAAAAAGGCACAGUUUUGGCUGUGUUGAUGGUAGUGGGGGAAGAAGCGCCGGCUAACUACGUG